UACGUAGGGUGCGAGCGUUGUCCGGAAUUAUUGGGCGUAAAGGGCUCGUAGGCGGUCUGUCGCGUCAGGAGUGAAAACUCGGGGCUUAACCCCGAGCCUGCUUCUGAUACGGGCAGACUAGAGGUAUGCAGGGGAGAACGGAAUUCCUGGUGUAGCGGUGAAAUGCGCAGAUAUCAGGAGGAACACCGGUGGCGAAGGCGGCUCUCUGGACGGAUACUGACGCUGAGGCGCGAAAGCGUGGGGAGUCAAACAGG
rnacentral:rRNA from 1 species